rnacentral:misc_RNA from 1 species
CCGAGUAUUACAACUCCCAAACCCAAUGUGAACCAUACCAAACUGUUGCCAUCGGCGGGGUCACGCCCCGGGUGCGUCGCAAGCCCCGGAACCAGGCGCCGCCGGAGGGACCAACCAAACUCUUUCUGUAGUCCCCUCGCGGACGUUAUUUCUUACAGCUCUGAGCAAAAAUUCAAAAUGAAUCA